AAUCUUAUAUUCAAAAUGAUUUUAAAUUGCAAAUUUAAAGGUGUAUAAUAUACUAAGAUUU
rnacentral:tRNA from 1 species